GGCCUUCCUGGUACCGCUUUCUCCUUCCACCACGAGGUGACUUGGGACCCCGCUGGCUUCCGCUUGGGCUCCGGCGCGGUCGGCGUCGGAGAAAACGCUGACGCGGGGCGCGGAUGCCCCGUUUGAAGGGACGUGGUAAAUGUGACGGCUCCCGGCAGAGACGGAACGGGAGGCUUUCGGAGCACGGCGAGAAAAACCCCCCACGGUGCGCAGACUUCAGAUCGAGCCUGAGUGCUGAAGGUUUUCAUUUUAAUCGUACUCGCCGAGAGACGUAAAUCCGUGAGCGAUGUGUAUCAAUGUUUGAGAAGCUGAGUUCCGUGCGUCAGCGUCAGCGCUGUGAGAGUUGGCCCACGCGUGCUGUGUGGCUUUUUCAUCUCCAUAGAGGAGGAUUGGGAAUUGGGGGGGAGUAUGACGGGGUACCUCACAGUAGAAGCCUUAGACUCCCGGGAGCACCCACGCCUUUUGACUCUGAGAGCCUGUGUGAAAUCAGGGUCUCAGAAGGGGAAAGGAAAUUUUACGAUUCCUAAGAACAAUAGCUGAUACUUUUCCUGCCAACAGUUUACAGGUACCUUUCAAGAAUAUUUUACUGACCUCGGGAAAUUGGAAUACUUUGUUAUUUUGUUACCUUACUUGUAUUCUCAUCUUCCUCUCCCACCCCCACGCCGCCCCCCACCCCGUCCUUAGGCCAUGGAAUUUUUAAUGUUUAUAAAUGCAUUUUUUAGUUUGUUUGUUUGGGGUUUUGUUUUUGUUUUAUUUUGUUUCUGAGUCAUAGUCUAUGUAGUCCUAGCUAUCCUGAAACUUAUGUAUAGUAGCCUGGCCUCAAAGUCACAGACAUCCACCUGCCUCUGCAUCCCCCAUCCCCACCCCAUCCCUCAGUGCUGGGAUUAAAAAUGUCCACCACUAUGACUGACCUCAUGCUUUAGUUUUUAGAACAAGAUUAUUAAUAUAAAACAGUAUUUCCUGAAGCUAGGCCCAGGAAGACAAAUUUCGAAUAUUUUCUCAAAUGCUCGAAAUGUAGAUUUGAAGCUAGACACACACGUACACAUUUGACAUAGAAGUAGAAGGGAAGAUAGGGAUAAGAAAGGCAAUGAGGGGAAGAAAGUUACCUCAUGUUCUCUCUCUAUCCGGGAAUGAUUAUGUCUGUGGCAGAAAGCAGAGGACUGUUUGGAGACAGAGGGACGAUGAAAAUGAGCAAACAAAGAUAUGUACAUGUAUGAAAAUGUCAUAGUGAAACUGAAUGCUAAGUAAAAUAAAAUGAAGGCCGUUUACUUCUGUAGAUUAUCUGAUUUGGGCAUGAACACAGUCAGUUGAUCAAAUGAUUUUUAAAAGUGCAUUUUUUCCAUUUCUCUCUUUUAGACUCAUUUCCUUGUACAGUGGGGGUGAAUGUGCAGGAAAGGAAUGACUGUUUGAUGAUCUAAAUAAAUAUACAACUAUUGAUUCGUGCAUCCCAACCGUUAAGUAUCAAAUGAAGUAUUUCCUAGCAGUGAGAGAGCGAGUGCUGAGGGAAAGUCACAACAGAGAGGUCGUGACUCUUGGACUCACUUGAUGAUGAUGAGACUUCCAACAGGAAUUCAUGGAAACCCUGAAUACUCAUGAACCAGGAACGAGGCCUGAGACACAGCUCCAUGAGUUAUAACUACUUCAAGAAGACAGAAGACUGAGGUUUCAGCCAUUACUUUCAACUGAGCCUAGAGCAUCCAGCCACACUUGCAAUGACCUUGAAAGCCAGUGUCCAGUGGGAACUGGGGAGGGGAUGAAUAUGACUUAAACACAUUAUAUGAAAUUCUCAACCAACUAAUAAACAAUAUUUUUUAAAUAGGAAACUGAAGGUUUCAUUGGCUCCUUCCUCUAUGGGCCUUGUCAUAAAUAACAUGUAUUGUUAAAAAAAAAAAAAAAGUCAAACCCAAACCUAGCACAGCAGGAAGCAUGGCACCAGGAGGGGACAAGCAUGACUGGAGGCUUCCACAAAAGUUCAUCUGUAACUUGUUUUAAAUUCACAUUGGUCUGAGAAUUUAUCAGAAGCACCCUUAUUUUCUAAAUGAUUUCUUUGUGCUUAAAUAUAAAAGUUCAUGCUAACGUUUCAAUAAUACCCUAGGAAGAAUUUCAAUCUGCAGAUUUCCAAAGUGCCUUUUAGUUUAAGGUUCCCAUCCUUAGUCUGUACUUCCCAUUGCUAAAUUUUAUGGGUUUUAUUUUACUCCUUAAUCCCAUAAUUUAACUUUGUAUUUACCUUAAGUCCUGGAGUUGGAGGGAAUUUUUUCGAAUACAGUUAAUCAUCUAUUUUGCUUGAGCCUCUUGUGUUUGACCGUGCAUGCCUGGUGCAUGCCCAGUUCUGUUAGCUCCUCAGCGCUCUAGUUUUGUAAGCUUUCAGUCAGUUGCUGCUCUCCUCUGAACACUUUCCAAGCCUCUUUUUCUCUUUAUACAGUGUGGCAUAUAAAUUGAAAAAUGCAGUUUGUUCCAACUGAUGCCUGUCCAAUGCCAAACAAAGCAAAAAUAAUUACUCUGCUCCCUUUCACACAUGCACUCAGUAAAACCCUGUGAAGUCUUUCCCUUCUGUCAAUGCAGGGAAGUUACGUCCAGCUAACACCAAGCAGAAACACUGGAUCUCACUUGGCUUUGUAGUUUUAUGUACUCGUUCAGGCAACCCAGUAGCUUCUUAUCCAUUAAAUGUUAAGAUACUAGAAAGAAUUUCAUGUGUACACCCUUUAUUUAUUUAUUUAUUUAUUUGUGGGUUUUUCUUUUUGUUUUGUUCCGUUUUCAAGACAGAGUUUCUCUGUAUA